rnacentral:rRNA from 1 species
ACCAGACUCCUACGGGAGGCAGCAGUGAGGAAUAUUGGUCAAUGGCCGAGAGGCUGAACCGGCCAAGUCGCGUGAGGGAUGACGGCCCUACGGGUUGUAAACCUCUUUUGCCGGGGAGCAAAGAGCGGGACGCGUCCCGCCUCGAGAGUACCCGGAGAAAAAGCAUCGGCUAACUCCGUGCCAGCAGCCGCGGUAAUACGGAGGAUGCGAGCGUUAUCCGGAUUUAUUGGGUUUAAAGGGUGCGUAGGCGGACAGUCAAGUCAGCGGUAAAAAUGCGGUGCUCAACGCCGUACAGCCGUUGAAACUGGCAGUCUUGAGUGGGCGAGAAGUAUGCGGAAUGCGUGGUGUAGCGGUGAAAUGCAUAGAUAUCACGCAGAACCCCGAUUGCGAAGGCAGCGUACCGGCUCCACACUGACGCUGAGGCACGAAAGCGUGGGUAUCGAACAGGAUUAGAUACCCCGGUA